rnacentral:rRNA from 1 species
UACAGAGGUCCCGAAGCGUUGUUCGGAUUUACUGGGCGUAAAGGGAGCGUAGGUGGCAUUCUAAGUCUGAUGUGAAAGCGUCUGAGCUUAACUCAGAAAUGGCAUUAGAUACUAGUUUGCUUGAGGAUUGGAGGGGAGAUUGGAAUUCUUGGUGUAGCAGUGAAAUGCGUAGAUAUCAAGAGGAACACCAGUGGCGAAGGCGAAUCUCUGGACAAUUCCUGACACUGAUGCUCGAAAGCUAGGGGGAGCAAACGGG